GGGCCCGCACAAGCGGUGGAGCAUGUGGUUUAAUUCGAUGAUACGCGAGGAACCUUACCAGGGCUUAAAUGUAGGUUGCAUUAGCUAGAGAUAGUUAUUUCUUCGGACUACUUACAAGGUGCUGCAUGGUUGUCGUCAGCUCGUGCCGUGAGGUGUCAGGUUAAGUCCUAUAACGAGCGCAACCCCUGUCGUUAGUUGCCAUCAAGUAAAGUUGGGGACUCUAACGAGACUGCCGGUGCAAACCGAGAGGAAGGUGGGGAUGACGUCAAAUCAUCACGGCCCUUACGUCCUGGGCUACACACGUGCUACAAUGGUAGUGACAGAGAGCAGCCACUGGGUAACCAGGAGCGAAUCUACAAACACUAUCACAGUUCGGAUCGGAGUCUGCAACUCGACUCCGUG
rnacentral:rRNA from 1 species